AGGAGAGUUUGAUCCUGGCUCAGGAUGAACGCUGGCGGCGUGCUUAACACAUGCAAGUCGAACGGGAACUCUAGACUGAAGGUUCGCUGGAUGUUUAGAAAUUCUAGUGGCGGACGGGUGAGUAACGCGUGGGUAACCUGCCUAUAAGACGUGAACAACAGUUAGAAAUGACUGCUAAUACACGAUAAGCACACCAGUAUCGCAUGAUACAGUGUGAAAAGAAUUUCGCUUAUAGAUGGACCCGCGUUUGAUUAGCCAGUUGGUGGGGUAACGGCCUACCAAAGCAACGAUCAAUAGCCGGCCUGAGAGGGCGACCGGCCACAUUGGGACUGAGACACGGCCCAAACUCCUACGGGAGGCAGCAGUGGGGAAUAUUGGACAAUGGGGGCAACCCUGAUCCAGCAACGCCGCGUGAGUGAUGAAGUAUCUUGGUAUGUAAAGCUCUAUCAGUAGGAACGAAAAUGACGGUACCUAACUAAGAAGCCCCGGCUAACUACGUGCCAGCAGCCGCGGUAAUACGUAGGGGGCAAGCGUUAUCCGGAUUUACUGGGUGUAAAGGGAGCGUAGACGGAAUGGCAAGUCUGAAGUGAAAACCCACGGCUCAACCGUGGACUUGCUUUGGAAACUGUUAAUCUAGAGUACUGGAGGGGUAAGCGGAAUUCCUAGUGUAGCGGUAAAAUGCGUAGAUAUUAGGAAGAACACCAGAGGCGAAGGCGGCUUACUGGACAGUUACUGACGUUGAGGCUCGAAAGCGUGGGGAGCAAACAGGAUUAGAUACCCUGGUAGUCCCCU
rnacentral:rRNA from 1 species